AGCAGCCGCGGUAAUUCCAGCUCCAAUAGCGUAUAUUAAAGUUGUUGCAGUUAAAAAGCUCGUAGUUGAAUUUCGGGGUUAGUAGGUUGGUCGUGCCACUGGUACGUACUGGUCUCACUGACUCCUCCUUCCUGAUGAACUGUAAUGCCAUUAAUUUGGUGUUGCGGGGAAACUGGACUGUUACUUUGAAAAAAUUAGAGUGUUUAAAGCAAGCUAACGCUUGAAUACAUUAGCAUGGAAUAAUGAAAUAGGACGUUCGAUCCUAUUUUGUUGGUUUCUAGGAUUGACGUAAUGAUUAAUAGGGAUAGUUGGGGGCAUUAGUAUUCAAUUGUCAGAGGUGAAAUUCUUGGAUUUAUUGAAGACUAACUACUGCGAAAGCAUUUGCCAAGGAUGUUUUCAUUAAUCAAGAACGAAAGUUAGGGGAUCGAAGACGAUCAGAUACCGUCGUAGUCUUAACCAUAAACUAUGCCGACUAGGGAUCGGAUGGUGUUAAUUUUUAAUGACUCAUUCGGCGCCUUAC
rnacentral:rRNA from 1 species